rnacentral:rRNA from 1 species
CCUGAAGACCUAGUGGCGAACGGGUGAGUAACACGUGAGAAACCUGCCUCGGAGGUGGGAAUAACUCGGGGAAACUCGAGCUAAUACCGCAUACCUUCACAUGAUCGCAUGGUCGAGUGAAGAAAGAAUUUCGCUCUGAGAGGGUCUCGCGGCCUAUCAGCUUGUUGGUGGGUAACGGCCUACCAAGGCAACGACGGGUAGCUGGUUUGAGAGAACGAUCAGCCACACUGGGACUGAGACACGGCCCAGACUCCUACGGGAGGCAGCAGUGGGGAAUCUUGCGCAAUGGGCGAAAGCCUGACGCAGCAACGCCGCGUGCGGGAUGACGGCCUUCGUGGUUGUAAACCGCUUUCAGCAGGGACGAAAAUGACGGUACCUGCAGAAGAAGCCCCGGCUAACUACGUG